GCCUGCACCUGCAACUUUAUGAUUUUCUUCUUGAAGCAUGACCAACCUUCCUGGACUCCUCUGCCCUUCAGGACUGCUUCCCAAGAGACUCUUAUCAACAGUCUCCUAAACAGGCCAAAGGCUGCCCUCUGGAAAUCCAAAGCAGGCUUCUCCUUACCUUUUGCACAAGUGAGUGGGAUCUGCCACCCCUAAAAUAAGUGACUUAAUGGAAAGGCUUCUAUGAAUGAAACCUACCACCAAGUGAAGUGCAGAGGCUGUAUCCAAAUGGCUCUUUCCCAGCAACUGGAUGAUAGGCAGAAACAGAACACACUGAGAGCUGCUUUUUCCUGCAUCCCAAGACAGUGGAUGAUGAGAAUGUUGGACAUUUGACUACUACAGUCUUGGCAUGAUCCACAGCACACCAGGGAAGAGGAAAGUCAAGGCGCUGGGAAUGACUGGCUGUGUGGACACAUUGUAUUCCCAUAAUGGAUCGCACCUCCAGCAGAGCCUGAAAACGAGGAAAGAAGAAAAGAAAGGGCGCGGAAAAAGAAAAGACAGCAAGGUGUCCUUAGCAUUUCCCUGCACCUGGAAUACUCAUCCUGGUUUCACGCAGCGCCGUUGCGGGGUGGGGAGGACCCAGGAACGAGCACACCAGGAAAAC